rnacentral:rRNA from 1 species
CAGCGCCGCGGUAAUACAGAGGGUGCGAGCGUUAAUCGGAUUUACUGGGCGUAAAGCGUGCGUAGGCGGCUUUUUAAGUCGGAUGUGAAAUCCCUGAGCUUAACUUAGGAAUUGCAUUCGAUACUGGGAAGCUAGAGUAUGGGAGAGGAUGGUAGAAUUCCAGGUGUAGCGGUGAAAUGCGUAGAGAUCUGGAGGAAUACCGAUGGCGAAGGCAGCCAUCUGGCCUAAUACUGACGCUGAGGUACGAAAGCAUGGGGAGCAAACAGGAUUAGAUACCCCCGUAGUCCCUGUCUCUUAUACA